ensembl:lncRNA
AAAAAAAAUAUGGAAAACCAAAUAAAGAAAAAGCAAAGCAAAACAACAAAUGGAAUGCAAAGAAAAAGCAAAAAGAAAAAGAAAAGGAAAAAUAAAAAUGAAGGAUCAGGAGGGCUAAUAGCAGGUAAGUAAAGGCGAGGUAAGGGGAAGGUGACGAGCAUGGGGACAAGGAAGGAGAGAAGGAAGGGAAGGAAGAGAAAAAUGUAAAGGAUGAAAAAGGGAAUCACAAAGGAAUGCAAAGAGAACUAGCUUGAAAAGGGCAGGAAUGGAAAAGAACCAACAAAAGGAAAAGAAACAGUAGAAGGAAAAAUGAAAGGAGCAGUAAAGAAAAGAAAAAUGGAAAGGGGAAAAAAAAAGCAAAACUAAAAGGCAUAGCAAAGCAAUGAAAUACCAAGGAAAAGGAAAAACAGAAUGCCGUAUCGUGGCAAAGCAAAGGACUCAAAGAAAUUCAACAAGAAAAAACUGCCAUCCAAAAUUGUUCAAAGAAAAAAAAAUGACAAAAAGGAUACAAGCAAAGCCACAGAAAGAAAAGCAAACAAGGAAAGAAGAAAGGAAACCAAAGCAAAGCGAGAAAACCAUGAAGCCAUGCAAAAUGCAAAGCAAAGGUAUGAAAGGAAAACCAAAGAGCAAAGCAAAGCACCAGAAAAACAAUAAAAAGAAAUGCAAGAAAAGAAACUGAAAAGGAAAGGAAACUAAAGAUAAGUAAUUUGAUAAGAAGAGAAAGGGGAAGGAAAAAAAGGAAUGCAAAGAAAUGAACUGGAAGGAAGAAAACCACAUUAAGGAAAUAAACAAUGUAAAGCAAAGCAAAACGAGCAGUACAGAAAUCUGAAUUAGAAUUAAAAGGCAGAGCAAAGCAAAGCAAGUAAGGGCAAGGCUAGAGGAAGGAGACAGGCAAGGGGACAAGGAUACGGGCAAGGAAAAGGCAGCAAAGAAGAAUGUAAUUACAAAACAAAUAGGAAACUGAAAGGAGACUACAGAAAAACCAUUUGAAAAGAGGAGAAAACACAGAAAUACUUUUAGAACGAACAACAAUAAGAGAAAGCCAGCUGAUGGGAAAAGCAAAAGCCAGCUGAAAGCACAGCAGGAACGCGCAGAGAACAGCAGAGUUACACUGUCAGAAAGAGAAAUGGAAGCAAAAAAUCAACAAAGGACAUCCAAAUUAAAAGCCAACUGAAAAAGAGGAAACACGAAAGCAACGGGAAGAAGAGAGAAGCAGCAGAGUAGGAAAUCAAGCAAAGCAAAGAAAGCCAGAAAGCAACGCAGAGCAAUGUGAAGCAGAGGUGAAAAGGAGGAACAAAAGAGCAGAGCAAAGCAAAGCAAGGGCAAAUAAAGAAAGCCUCAAUUGUGGCAGCUCGACCCACCUGGCGCUUCA